UCUUGACUCCCACUCUGCAAAUUCAGGAAAUUCAAACAAUAAUCUGGAUAAUAUUUUAAGCGAUUAACAACAUUAAUUUUGCUCUGGCUCACACAAACGUGCCAGAGAGGACCACAGCUGCAACGCAUCCUCAUUUGGAUUACUUUUGUGUUUUUCAGCAGAUGUUUGGAGAAGAGAGACUCCGCUGUUUUCACCUCUCCCAUCACAGAGAUGAUCUUGUGUUCAUCUCUGACAUCGCAGCCCAUCGCCUCAAACUCAGUCUUGACUUCCUCAAGUUCUUGCUACAAACUCUUCCAUUCCCUCGUCAUCAUGCUUGUGUGAAAUCUGUGUGACCAACUGAACUGUCAGUAGUGCUUUUGUAGUUUUGCUUUAUUUUACGAAGAGCCAGUUAUCUGCUUGCUUUACCACUAUGUCACAGAUCUUUAGCGUUCUGUCAAAUAUUUGUGUAGAAUUUAUCGUUGUGCAUGUGAUUUCCUCUGUCUGUGCUAGUUUCACAACACUCCCUCUUUCUUCACAGAGUAAAAUCAUUUAUUAAUCCUUA